rnacentral:rRNA from 1 species
GAUGAACGCUGGCGGCGUGCCUAAUACAUGCAAGUCGAGCGAACAGACGAGGAGCUUGCUCCUCUGACGUUAGCGGCGGACGGGUGAGUAACACGUGGAUAACCUACCUAUAAGACUGGGAUAACUUCGGGAAACCGGAGCUAAUACCGGAUAAUAUAUUGAACCGCAUGGUUCAAUAGUGAAAGACGGUUUUGCUGUCACUUAUAGAUGGAUCCGCGCCGCAUUAGCUAGUUGGUAAGGUAACGGCUUACCAAGGCAACGAUGCGUAGCCGACCGGAGAGGGUGAUCGGCCACACUGGAACUGAGACACGGUCCAGACUCCUACGGGAGGCAGAAGUAGGGAAUCUUCCGCAAUGGGCGAAAGCCUGACGGAGCAACGCCGCGUGAGUGAUGAGGGUCUUCGGUUCGUAAACUCUUUUAUUAGGGAAGAACAAAUGUGUAAGUAACUAUGCACGUCUUGACGGUACCUAAUCAGAAAGCCACGGCUAACUUCGUG